UUUUAAUCAUCGCCGUCAUCAUCAUGAGUUGCCUGUUUCUUUCCUUUUCUUCUUAAAAUAAACUCCUCCUGACGAAAGUUGAACUGACAAUCAAGAGUGUAUAAUUAAUAAGCUCGACCUUUACUUUUGUGUAAAAUUUAUGUUUAUUUUUUUCUUUGUGAUAGAGAAAACCAUAUUAAUCAUGUUUUCUUAUUUCUAUUUUUAUCCCAAAUCAAUCUGAAUCACCUUCACCAUUGGCCUCACCACAAUCAUGACCAUCAACCUUGCCAUAAUAAUAACCACUUUCAUCUUAUUUAUUUACCCCACACCGGAACUCACCUUGACUACAGUUUUAAUGGCGAUGCCCUAAGGCUACUUAAAACACCAUCAAUAUUGUUUCCCUCUUCUUCAUUACACCAAAUCUUUACUCGGAAUUCCCAGGGUAAUACCCGUUGGAAUAUUUCUCUUUUUUGACCAGAUUUUAAGCAUUGUCUUUAAAUAAAAUGACUUCUGUUAUUCAACACCAUCAUAAUCCGUACAUUACCUUCAUCAUUCAUCAGCCAAACCGUAAUCAUCAAUCUCAUCAUCAUCAUGAACCCGAAAAAUUGUACUGGCCAAAAUUAACAAACAAGUUUCACUGCACACAUUACCUUGAAAACGAAACAUCGCAGGAUAAAUGAGUAAUAAUACCUUAAAGUAAACGUGGCCUUAGCUUGAUGAACGUAAAUGUAGCUGCAUGUUUCAUCAUAAAAUUCAAGCCUAAACAGGUAGAAGUGGCUUUAUAAACAUUGGUUAAACAUUGGUUAACACCAAAAAAAGACAAAAGCCUUUCUCUCCCUCUUUGAUGACAUCAUACCGAAACAAAUAACACACAACAAUAACAAUGGUUGAGAUCAACAUGAAACAUCUACAUUGAGAAAAUGUUUUGUAAUUGAAGUCACCUUAUCAAGGUAAAUAAAGACUUGGUUAGAUGAUUUAAUAAACAGUUGUAUCGCAAUAGAUACCUAAAUGGUACAUAUUAUUCAAAUGGGAAGUUGUUGCUUUGAUUUACUGUUUGAUACCAACAAGUACAACAAUUUGUAAACUGUUAUUUCCUUAAUUUGAACAUUUUUCUCCCUGAAUUGUGAUUUACCAGCGUUUAUAACGAUACUGACAAGAACGAUAACCAAAGUAAAACAUGAUACAAAUGAUGAUUCCUUAAUUGCAUGUUUAUCAAUUUAAGAUAUGUUGUUGUUUAUCUAAUGACUGAUAAUAAUAUGCAUAACAAUUUGAACCAUUUCACUUUUUUUUGUACCAAAAAAUAACGUUAAAGUCAUCUUUAACUGUAUUAUUUGACUAUCAUUUCAACUGUUUAAAAUGAUGUGUAAAAAUGAUUCUGAACAAUUUAUCGUUUCACUGAAUUUACUUUUACUUUUUACUUACUUUUAUUAUUAGCUUCAAUGAUUUGAAGGAUAAAAAUUAGCAGCUUUUUUCAAUCGGAUCUUGAAAAUGAUAGCAAGCUAAAAUUGAAAUAAUUUACUAAUUAGUAACUGGAAGUAGUUGUAAACAAGGAUAACAAUUAUAUUUUGCUUAAAUUUAAAUGUUGUUAUUUUCACCCUUAUCCUUAUCCUCUUCACUUUUAAUACUGAUUCAAUAAUUUACUAAUCCCUACAUUUAUCCUUAUU